rnacentral:rRNA from 1 species
GAGGUCCAGCCUGCCCAGUGAUAUUCAACGGCCGCGGUAUUCUAACCGUGCAAAGGUAGCGUAAUCACUUGUUUUCUAAAUAAAGACCAGUAUGAAAGGCAUCACGAAGACCUGACUGUCUCCUUUUUCCAAUCAGUGAACCUAAUCUCCCCGUGAAGAAGCGGGGAUCCCCCUAUAAGACGAGAAGACCCCGUGGAGCUUAAAACAAUUAUAUGUUUUCGGUUGGGGUGACCGCGGAGAAAAUCUCAUCCUCCACGAUGAAAACCAAGUCACAACUUUAUGUAUCAAAAAAUUGACAUUCAUUGACCCAAUAAAUUGAUUAACGAACCAAGUUACCCCGGGGAUAACAGCACAAUCCACUUCAAGAGCCCCUAUCGACAAGUGGGCUUAUGACCUCGAUGUUGGAUCGGGUUAUCCCAGUGGUGCAGCCGCUACAAAGGUU